rnacentral:rRNA from 1 species
GAUGAACGCUGGCGGCGUGCCUAAUACAUGCAAGUCGAGCGAACAGACGAGGAGCUUGCUCCUCUGACGUUAGCGGCGGACGGGUGAAUAACACGUGGAUAACCUACCUAUAAGACUGGGAUAACUUCGGGAAACCGGAGCUAAUACCGGAUAAUAUAUUGAACCGCAUGGUUCAAUAGUGAAAGACGGUUUUGCUGUCACUUAUAGAUGGAUCCGCGCCGCAUUAGCUAGUUGGUAAGGUAACGGCUUACCAAGGCAACGAUGCGUAGCCGACCUGAGAGGGUGAUCGGCCACACUGGAACUGAGACACGGUCCAGACUCCUACGGGAGGCAGCAGUAGGGAAUCUUCCGCAAUGGGCGAAAGCCUGACGGAGCAACGCCGCGUGAGUGAUGAAGGUCUUCGGAUCGUAAAACUCUGUUAUUAGGGAAGAACAAAUGUGUAAGUAACUAUGCACGUCUUGACGGUACCUAAUCAGAAAGCCACGGCUAACUACGUG